UGCCAGCAGCGCGGUAAUACGUAGGUGGCAAGCGUUGUCCGGAAUUAUUGGGCGUAAAGCGCGCGCAGGCGGUCUCUUAAGUCUGAUGUGAAAGCCCACGGCUCAACCGUGGAGGGUCAUUGGAAACUGGGAGACUUGAGUGCAGAAGAGGAGAGUGGAAUUCCAUGUGUAGCGGUGAAAUGCGUAGAUAUAUGGAGGAACACCAGUGGCGAAGGCGACUCUCUGGUCUGUAACUGACGCUGAGGCGCGAAAGCGUGGGGAGCAAACAGG
rnacentral:rRNA from 1 species